rnacentral:rRNA from 1 species
GACAGAGGAUGCAAGCGUUAUCCGGAAUGAUUGGGCGUAAAGCGUCUGUAGGUGGCUUUUUAAGUCCGCCGUCAAAUCCCAGGGCUCAACCCUGGACAGGCGGUGGAAACUACCAAGCUGGAGUACGGUAGGGGCAGAGGGAAUUUCCGGUGGAGCGGUGAAAUGCGUAGAGAUCGGGAAGAACACCAACGGCGAAAGCACUCCGCUGGGCUGAUACUGACGCUGACAGACGAAAGCUAGGGUAGCGAAAGGG